rnacentral:miRNA from 1 species
CAUACCAUUUGCAAUAGUAGACAACCCAAGGUAUUGCAAAUAUGGUAUUUCCAGUCUUUCUUAGUAGCCACUUAGUCACAAACACUGGCCAAAAUUGGCAUUCAAAUUAUUUUUUGCAUUUUUCACACACCAACAAAUAUGAAUUCCAAUUUUGGCCAGUGUUUGUGACUAAGUGGCUACUAAAAAGAAUGGACAUACCCCAUUUACAAUACCUUGGGUUGUCUACUUUUGCAAAUGGUAUG